GUCUACGGCCAUGCCUCCCUGAACAAGUCCAAUCCCGUCUGAUCUCAGAAGCUAAGCAGGGUCGGACCUCGUUAGUACUUGGAUGGGAGACCACCUAGGAAGACCAGGUGCUGUAGGCA
rnacentral:rRNA from 1 species